rnacentral:rRNA from 1 species
UUAAGCGACUAAGCGUACACGGUGGAUGCCCUGGCAGUCAGAGGCGAUGAAGGACGUGCUAAUCUGCGAAAAGCGUCGGUAAGGUGAUAUGAACCGUUAUAACCGGCGAUGUCCGAAUGGGGAAACCCAGUGCAAUUCGUUGCACUAUCGUUAACUGAAUACAUAGGUUAACGAGGCGAACCGGGGGAACUGAAACAUCUAAGUACCCCGAGGAAAAGAAAUCAACCGAGAUUCCCCCAGUAGCGGCGAGCGAACGGGGAGCAGCCCAGAGUCUGAAUCAGCUUGUGUGUUAGUGGAACGGUCUGGAAAGUCCGACGGUACAGGGUGAUAGUCCCGUACACCAAAAUGCACAGGUUGUGAACUCGAAGAGUAGGGCGGGACACGUGGUAUCCUGUCUGAAUAUGGGGGGACCAUCCUCCAAGGCUAAAUACUCCUGACUGACCGAUAGUGAACCAGUACCGUGAGGGAAAGGCGAAAAGAACCCCGGCGAGGGGAGUGAAAAAGAACCUGAAACCGUGUACGUACAAGCAGUGGGAGCACCUUCGGGUGUGACUGCGUACCUUUUGUAUAAUGGGUCAGCGACUUAUAUUCUGUAGCAAGGUUAACCGUAUAGGGGAGCCGCAGGGAAACCGAGUCUUAACUGGGCGUUAAGUUGCAGGGUAUAGACCCGAAACCCGGUGAUCUAGCCAUGGGCAGGUUGAAGGUUGGGUAACACUAACUGGAGGACCGAACCGACUAAUGUUGAAAAAUUAGCGGAUGACUUGUGGCUGGGGGUGAAAGGCCAAUCAAACCGGGAGAUAGCUGGUUCUCCCCGAAAGCUAUUUAGGUAGCGCCUCGUGAAUUCAUCUUCGGGGGUAGAGCACUGUUUCGGCUAGGGGGUCAUCCCGACUUACCAACCCGAUGCAAACUACGAAUACCGAAGAAUGUUAUCACGGGAGACACACGGCGGGUGCUAACGUCCGUCGUGAAGAGGGAAACAACCCAGACCGCCAGCUAAGGUCCCAAAGUCAUGGUUAAGUGGGAAACGAUGUGGGAAGGCACAGACAGCCAGGAUGUUGGCUUAGAAGCAGCCAUCAUUUAAAGAAAGCGUAAUAGCUCACUGGUCGAGUCGGCCUGCGCGGAAGAUGUAACGGGGCUAAACCAUGCACCGAAGCUGCGGCAGCGACACUAUGUGUUGUUGGGUAGGGGAGCGUUCUGUAAGCCUGCGAAGGUGACCUGUGAGGGUUGCUGGAGGUAUCAGAAGUGCGAAUGCUGACAUAAGUAACGAUAAAGCGGGUGAAAAGCCCGCUCGCCGGAAGACCAAGGGUUCCUGUCCAACGUUAAUCGGGGCAGGGUGAGUCGACCCCUAAGGCGAGGCCGAAAGGCGUAGUCGAUGGGAAACAGGUUAAUAUUCCUGUACUUGGUGUUACUGCGAAGGGGGGACGGAGAAGGCUAUGUUAGCCGGGCGACGGUUGUCCCGGUUUAAGCAUGUAGGCUGGUUAUCCAGGCAAAUCCGGAUAAUCAAGGCUGAGGUGUGAUGACGAGGCACUACGGUGCUGAAGUAACAAAUGCCCUGCUUCCAGGAAAAGCCUCUAAGCAUCAGGUAACAUUAAAUCGUACCCCAAACCGACACAGGUGGUCAGGUAGAGAAUACCAAGGCGCUUGAGAGAACUCGGGUGAAGGAACUAGGCAAAAUGGUGCCGUAACUUCGGGAGAAGGCACGCUGGUGUGUAGGUGAAGUCCCUGCGGAUGGAGCUGAGACCAGUCGAAGAUACCAGCUGGCUGCAACUGUUUAUUAAAAACACAGCACUGUGCAAACACGAAAGUGGACGUAUACGGUGUGACGCCUGCCCGGUGCCGGAAGGUUAAUUGAUGGGGUUAUCCGUAAGGAGAAGCUCUUGAUCGAAGCCCCGGUAAACGGCGGCCGUAACUAUAACGGUCCUAAGGUAGCGAAAUUCCUUGUCGGGUAAGUUCCGACCUGCACGAAUGGCGUAAUGAUGGCCAGGCUGUCUCCACCCGAGACUCAGUGAAAUUGAACUCGCUGUGAAGAUGCAGUGUACCCGCGGCAAGACGGAAAGACCCCGUGAACCUUUACUAUAGCUUGACACUGAACAUUGAGCCUUGAUGUGUAGGAUAGGUGGGAGGCUUUGAAGCGUGGACGCCAGUCUGCGUGGAGCCAACCUUGAAAUACCACCCUUUAAUGUUUGAUGUUCUAACGUUGGCCCCUGACCGGGGUUGCGGACAGUGUCUGGUGGGUAGUUUGACUGGGGCGGUCUCCUCCCAAAGCGUAACGGAGGAGCACGAAGGUUAGCUAAUCCUGGUCGGACAUCAGGAGGUUAGUGCAAUGGCAUAAGCUAGCUUGACUGCGAGCGUGACGGCGCGAGCAGGUGCGAAAGCAGGUCAUAGUGAUCCGGUGGUUCUGAAUGGAAGGGCCAUCGCUCAACGGAUAAAAGGUACUCCGGGGAUAACAGGCUGAUACCGCCCAAGAGUUCAUAUCGACGGCGGUGUUUGGCACCUCGAUGUCGGCUCAUCACAUCCUGGGGCUGAAGUAGGUCCCAAGGGUAUGGCUGUUCGCCAUUUAAAGUGGUACGCGAGCUGGGUUUAGAACGUCGUGAGACAGUUCGGUCCCUAUCUGCCGUGGGCGCUGGAGAAUUGAGGGGGGCUGCUCCUAGUACGAGAGGACCGGAGUGGACGCAUCACUGGUGUUCGGGUUGUCAUGCCAAUGGCACUGCCCGGUAGCUAAAUGCGGAAGAGAUAAGUGCUGAAAGCAUCUAAGCACGAAACUUGCCCCGAGAUGAGUUCUCCCUGAGACUUUAAGUCUCCUGAAGGAACGUUGAAGACGACGACGUUGAUAGGCCGGGUGUGUAAGCGCAGCGAUGCGUUGAGCUAACCGGUACUAAUGAACCGUGAGGCUUAACCUU